rnacentral:rRNA from 1 species
ACGAACGCUUGCGGCGUGCUUCACACAUGCAAGUCGAACGGAAAGGCCCUGCUUUUGUGGGGUGCUCGAGUGGCGAACGGGGGAGGAACACGUGAGUAACCUGCCCUUGACUUUGGGAUAACGUCAGGAAACGGGGGCUAAUACCGGAUAGGAGCUCCUGCUGCAUGGUGGGGGUUGGAAAGUUUCGGCGGUUGGGGAUGGACUCGCGGCUUAUCAGCUUGUUGGUGGGGUAGUGGCUUACCAAGGCUUUGACGGGUAGCCGGCCUGAGAGGGUGAACGGCCACAUUGGGACUGAGAUACGGCCCAGACUCCUACGGGAGGCAGCAGGGGGGAAUAUUGCACAAUGGGCGGAAGCCUGAUGAAGCGACGCCGCGUGCGGGAUGACGGCCUUCGGGUUGUAAACCGCUUUAGCCUGUGACGAAGCGUGAGUGACGGUAAUGGGUAAAGAAGCACCGGCUAACUACGUG